CAAACGUCGAUUUCUCGAAGCAUCCAAAAUAGUCAAUUCCAUACUCUUCCAAAAAAGUUCCUUGGGCAAAGUCCCCUCCAAAUUGUUAUCGCUUAGAUCCAGAAAUCGCACUUGUGUACAAAAUCCAAUCUGCCGGGGUAUGGUCCCUUCGAACAAGUUUUCUGAUAUGUGAAGAGAGCGCAACUUUUGGAGAUUGCCA
rnacentral:RNase_MRP_RNA from 11 species